ACUAUAUAUAGUGUUCGAGGUUCUUUCGAUUCGCAAGACUGGGAAGCUAAGACGGGAAUUUGGUGAGUGGUGCCUUUUAAGGGCGCCGUAAUGCCGGAGCUGCCCCCGCAACUGUAAGCGGCGAGUAUUCAUUCGACAAUGCCACUGGCGCGAUAUGCCGGGAAGGUAGAAUGGGUGCAAUGAUCCGCAAGCCAGGAGACCUGCCUCGAUCGAACAAGUCCA
rnacentral:ncRNA from 2 species